AGUCUGUUAGCUCAGUUGGCUAGAGCCUAAAAGUCGGCGGUUCGAGUCCGCCACAGACUA
rnacentral:tRNA from 1 species